AUUGAACGCUGGCGGCAUGCCUUACACAUGCAAGUCGAACGGCAGCACGUCCCCUCGGGGAUGGUGGCGAGUGGCGAACGGGUGAGUAAUACAUCGGAACGUACCCAGGAGUGGGGGAUAACGUAGCGAAAGUUACGCUAAUACCGCAUAUUCUGUGAGCAGGAAAGCGGGGGAUCGCAAGACCUCGCGCUCUUGGAGCGGCCGAUGUCGUGAUUAGCUAGUUGGGGAGGUAAGAGCUCACCAAGGCGACGAUCCGUAGCAGGUCUGAGAGGAUGAUCUGCCACACUGGGACUGAGACACGGCCCAGACUCCUACGGGAGGCAGCAGUGGGGAAUUUUGGACAAUGGGGGCAACCCUGAUCCAGCCAUGCCGCGUGAGUGAAGAAGGCCUUCGGGUUGUAAAGCUCUUUCGGCGGGGAAGAAAUGGCAACGGCUAAUAUCCGUUGUUGAUGACGGUACCCGCAUAAGAAGCACCGGCUAACUACGUGCCAGCCGCCGCAGUAACAC
rnacentral:rRNA from 1 species